UAGUCGAGGACCACCCAAGGACCCAAGCUCCAAGCCUUGUGACUUGCUUUGAAUUUGAAAGCCAGAAAGGCGCUCCGGAGCUACAACUCCCUCGGAACAAAAGAUUUUGAAGUCCCACAUCCCAAGAGCUUGUUGAUGGGGCAUGACUUCCCUGGCUAUUGAACAUGAGCGCGCUCCGCUUCAUCAGAGAGGAUACAAUUUCGAGGAUGGUCAACGUCGCCUUAAGAGGUCACCUGAGUCACCCAGUGGCUUU
rnacentral:lncRNA from 1 species